GCCAUCAUCAUAAAUGGCCGGCACACAUGGUGGAUUUUUUUCCGGUUCCACCUUAAUCAAAAUAUCCCUCCCGGCUUACCUUAAGCAGCGAAAUUCCAUGAAGCUUCCGAAAAAUCAAUUUUUAUCACCAAUGAAAGCCUCCAGCAUCAACAAACUUUUGAUCACUGUGUCCGGAAUGUUCACAUAAAUUCAAAUAACACUGAAAAAUGACCCAAAACGGUUUAAUUUUCUGCACUCGUGCCUUUUUUUGCCCAAGCAACUUUUCCCAUACAAUUUUGGUGCCACAAAAAAACACUCCAAAACGGUCAUAUUUUUCACUGAAACACAAUAAAAACUACAUCACGACACGUGCUGCAACCAGAACAUUCAGACACUUAUCACCGGAUCUCAGGAAACCGCGUUUUUCGCGAAAAUUUAGGGUCAAAACUCGCGAGCUGAAAAUUUUCCGCGAGCUAAUCGUACUUUUAUUUUACACAUCACAAUACAUUUGCAGCUGCAUUGGUGUUGAUAAUCAUUGCCACUGAUUUUCUGUAGGGUUGCCAGAAUCGAAAUUGGUAGUUUAAUUUUAUUUACCUUGUAUGAGCACUCCUCGGUUAGUUUUUAGUUAUUAUAAUAUCGAAAAUAAAAUGAAGAAGGUAGUAAUGAUUGUAUUUUAACCAUUUGCUAUUGAUUUUUGAAGAUAUAAGCAAAUUACACGAAUUUAGAAAAAAAAAUCUAUUAUUAUUGCAACGCCUCUGGCAACCCUUUUCGAGCAAGCACAAGGGUCUGACAUAUCUGUCAAUUUAUUCCUUGAGAAUACGUAACCAACAUAAAGGCAUUUCUUUGCUUGCUUUGCAUUGGUGGGCCCAAAUUUACUAAGGAGAUGGUGGUUAUGCUCUUGAUGGCUUCUUCACCCCUUUGGUGAUUUCAGCAAAGCAAAACGUCAAAGGCAUCUUGCUCGCAACGAAACCAAAACAAACAGGAUUGGAAAGAAAAAGUUUGUUUUUGUAAAUAUUAAUCGAUUCUAAAGUUGGUGAACCGCCUGGUUACUAGUUCUGGAACGCAUCCCUUCGGUGUUUACGGGCCAUCCUGCGCAAACCUCGUCGCAGAAGAUUCCACGGUAAGGGAAGUUAUAAUGGUCAGGUUUUCCGCCCUGGCACACAAGCUGCUACAGGUGAUGACGGGUUCGAAAAUGUCCACGAUCCCAAUCGUCCCAUCGGAACGCCAUCACAUUGCCGGCUCGAGGAAAACGAAACCAACUUGGAACACUGGACACAAAAAAAUACGCCCCCGGAGUGGCACCGAUCACGUUCGAAUAGUAGGCAGUGGCGGCAUGAAGGAAUGCACUCAUCGGCGAAUGAUAAAGCUGGUUCCGGGUAGAGUUCCCCAGUAUUUUGGUUGUGUCUCACGCACCUACUUCUUUCUAGUCUAAAAUAUACGACAAAUCUUAAUUUUUAAGAAAAUAUGCAUU